GGAGAGGUGGCCGAGUGGUUUAAGGCAGCGGUCUUGAAAACCGCCGUGGGUGUGAGCUCACCGUGGGUUCGAAUCCCACUCUCUCCGCCA
rnacentral:tRNA from 1 species